rnacentral:rRNA from 1 species
GCAAGUCGAACGAACGACCUCGGGCUUGCCCGGGGAAGUUAGUGGCGAACGGCUGAGUAACGCGUGGGUGACCUGCCCAGAAGUGGGGAAUAACUGCCCGAAAGGGUGGCUAAUACCGCAUAUGGUCAUACGUUCAUUCGUAGGACCAAAGCCUUCGGGCGCUUCUGGAGGGGCCUGCGUUCGAUUAGCUCGUUGGUGAGGUAACGGCUCACCAAGGCGACGAUCGAUAGGUGGUCUGAGAGGAUGAUC